AUGUUUUGGGACUCACUUCAGAUGCAAAAUCCAAACUGCAAGGUUAUGGUUGACAACUGCUACGGUGAAUUCGUUGAGACAUCGGAGCCUCCAAUGGUGGGAGCAGAUCUGAUUGCCGGCAGCUUGAUAAAGAACCCUGGUGGUACCAUCGCACCUUGUGGUGGCUACGUUGCUGGGAAGAAAGAUUUGGUUGCCGCAGCUGCAGCUCGCCUAUCCGCACCCGGACUUGGGGUGGAGUUUGGGUCAGCACCUGGACAUGUUAUGCGAGCGAUGUUUCAGGGCUUGUUUCUUGCUCCGCAAAUGGUUGGAGAGGCAGUAAAAGGGGGUUUGCUAAUUGCAGAGGUCAUGUCAGCCAAGGGCUAUAGAGUUCAACCACUUCCGAGGGCACCACGCCAUGAUAUUGUGCAGGCAGUAGAGCUUGGCAACAGGGAGAGACUCAUAGCAUUCUGUGAAGUUGUUCAACAGACUUGCCCAGUAGUAUCGUUUAUUAAGCCAACCGCUGGGGAAACUCCGGGUUAUGCUUCAGAGGUCAUCUUUGCUGACGGGACAUUCAUGGAUGGAAGCACAAGCGAGCUAUCAUGUGAUGGGCCCUUAAGAGAUCCAUAUGCUGUCUUUUGUCAGGGAGGAACGCAUUGGACACAGUGGGCUCUUGUCCUGGGUGAAGUUCUGAAUGUCAUGUAG
rnacentral:rRNA from 1 species